rnacentral:rRNA from 1 species
UGGCGGCGUGCCUAACACAUGCAAGUCGAACGAGAAAGUGGAGCAAUCCAUGAGUAAAGUGGCGCACGGGUGAGUAACACGUGACUAACCUACCCUUGAGUGGGGAAUAACUUCGGGAAACCGAGGCUAAUACCGCAUAACACCUACGGGUCAAAGGAGCAAUUCGCUUAAGGAGGGGGUCGCGGCAGAUUAGCUAGUUGGCGGGGUAAUGGCCCACCAAGGCUAUGAUCUGUAUCCGGCCUGAGAGGGCGCACGGACACACUGGAACUGAAACACGGUCCAGACUCCUACGGGAGGCAGCAGUGGGGAAUUUUGCGCAAUGGGGGAAACCCUGACGCAGCAAUGCCGCGUGGAGGAUGAAGUCUCUUGGGACGUAAACUCCUUUCGACCGGGACGAUUAUGACGGUACCGGAAGAAGAAGCCCCGGCUAACUUCGUGCCAGCAGCCGCGGUAAUACGAGGGGGGCGAGCGUUGUUCGGAAUUAUUGGGCGUAAAGGGUGCGUANGCGGUUCGAUAAGUCUUGUGUGAAAUCUUCGGGCUCAACUC